CGUGUAGGCGGUUAGGUAAGUGGAAUGUGAAAUGCCCCGGGCUCACCCGGGGACCGGCAUCCCAAACUGCCUGGCUUGAGUAUGGGAGAGGAUGGAGGAAUUCCUGGUGUAGCGGUGAAAUGCGUAGAUAUCAGGAGGAACACCGGUGGCGAAGGCGUCCAUCUGGCCCAAUACUGACGCUGAGGCGCGAAAGCUAGGGGAGCAAACG
rnacentral:rRNA from 1 species